rnacentral:rRNA from 1 species
AGAGUUUGAAUCCUGGCUCAGGACGAACGCUGGCGGCACGCUUAACACAUGCAAGUCGAACGAGAGAAGAGGAGCUUGCUUUUCUGAUCUAGUGGCGGACGGGUGAGUAACACGUGAGCAAUCUGCCUUUCAGAGGGGGAUACCGAUUGGAAACGAUCGUUAAUGCCGCAUAACAUAAUUGAACCGCAUGAUUUGAUUAUCAAAGAUUUAUCGCUGAAAGAUGAGCUCGCGUCUGAUUAGCUAGUUGGUAAGGUAACGGCUUACCAAGGCGACGAUCAGUAGCCGGACUGAGAGGUUGAUCGGCCACAUUGGGACUGAGACACGGCCCAGACUCCUACGGGAGGCAGCAGUGGGGAAUAUUGCACAAUGGAGGAAACUCUGAUGCAGCGAUGCCGCGUGAGGGAAGAAGGUUUUAGGAUUGUAAACCUCUGUCUUCAGGGACGAAAAAAGACGGUACCUGAGGAGGAAGCUCCGGCUAACUACGUGCCAGCAGCCGCGGUAAUACGUAGGGAGCGAGCGUUGUCCGGAAUUACUGGGUGUAAAGGGAGCGUAGGCGGGAUCGCAAGUCAGAUGUGAAAACUAUGGGCUUAACCCAUAAACUGCAUUUGAAACUGUGGUUCUUGAGUGAAGUAGAGGUAAGCGGAAUUCCUAGUGUAGCGGUGAAAUGCGUAGAUAUUAGGAGGAACAUCAGUGGCGAAGGCGGCUUACUGGGCUUUAACUGACGCUGAGGCUCGAAAGCGUGGGGAGCAAACAGGAUUAGAUACCCUGGUAGUCCACGCCGUAAACGAUGAUUACUAGGUGUGGGGGGACUGACCCCUUCCGUGCCGCAGCAAACGCAAUAAGUAAUCCACCUGGGGAGUACGACCGCAAGGUUGAAACUCAAAGGAAUUGACGGGGGCCCGCACAAGCAGUGGAGUAUGUGGAUUAAUUCGAAGCAACGCGAAGAACCUUACCAGGUCUUGACAUCGUAUGCAUAGCUCAGAGAUGAGUGAAAUCUCUUCGGAGACAUAUAGACAGGUGGUGCAUGGUUGUCGUCAGCUCGUGUCGUGAGAUGUUGGGUUAAGUCCCGCAACGAGCGCAACCCUUACUGUUAGUUGCUACGCAAGAGCACUCUAGCAGGACUGCCGUUGACAAAACGGAGGAAGGUGGGGAUGACGUCAAAUCAUCAUGCCCCUUAUGACCUGGGCCUCACACGUACUACAAUGGCUGUCAACAGAGGGAAGCAAAGCCGCGAGGUGGAGCGAACCCCUAAAAGCAGUCUUAGUUCGGAUUGUAGGCUGCAACCCGCCUACAUGAAGUCGGAAUUGCUAGUAAUCGCAGAUCAGCAUGCUGCGGUGAAUACGUUCCCGGGCCUUGUACACACCGCCCGUCACGCCAUGGGAGUCGGUAACACCCGAAGCCUGUAGUCUAACCGCAAGGAGGACGCAGUCGAAGGUGGGAUUGAUGACUGGGGUGAAGUCGUAACAAGGUA